CAGCCCUUGACAUGUCCGGGACCGGUCGCAGAGAUGUGACCCUCUCUUCGGAGUCCGGAACACAGGUGCUGCAUGGCUGUCGUCAGCUCGUGUCGUGAGAUGUUGGGUUAAGUCCCGCAACGAGCGCAACCCCCGUCCUUAGUUGCUACCAUUUAGUUGAGCACUCUAAGGAGACUGCCGGUGAUAAGCCGCGAGGAAGGUGGGGAUGACGUCAAGUCCUCAUGGCCCUUACGGGCUGGGCUACACACGUGCUACAAUGGCGGUGACAGUGGGAAGCUAAGAGGCAACUCUUCGCAAAUCUCAAAAAGCCGUCUCAGUUCGGAUUGGGCUCUGCAACUCGAGCCCAUGAAGUUGGAAUCGCUAGUAAUCGUGGAUCAGCAUGCCACGGUGAAUACGUUCCC
rnacentral:rRNA from 1 species